AUUGCCAGCCAAUCCAAGCAGCAGAGCCUUCCAACUGACUGGCAGGUGACUGUAUUCACGUAAGUGAUCUUCGUUGAGACCAAUAGAACAACCCAUCCGAGACCACUUCAAACUGUGAAGAACGUGAGCUAAAUAGAUGGCUGUUUCAAGCCACUAGGUUUUGGGGUUGUUACAAAGCAAUAGUUUCUGAGUCUGGAAUUCUGGAACAGCCUGAGUGGAUGGUUCUGGCUCAGGUCCUCUCAUAAGGUUAUGUAGACCAAGACUUCAGUCGUCUCAAGACUCAACCAAGGCUGAAGAAUCAGCAUCUAAGUUCACUCAAGUUCUUAUUGAGACCUUUUGGACCAACUGCAUGUCCUUCAUAAUUUUGUAGAAUGCGGAAGGAGGACAUCUAAUACAAUUUUCUGUUGACAUCUCUGUCCAAUACUUAGAGAUGAAGAAAAUGAGCAUUUGAAAGAACAUGAAGCAUUUCAAAAUCCACAUUGUGGUUAAAAGAAAAGAUGGGUCCUUCAACAUUAUUGGAGAAUUCACUGAAGUAAGACAUGACAGUGCUGGGAGAAUUAAAGAGAGACUGAGCACAAGCAGGGGCAGGGG